AAAAUUUUAAAAGUCGAACAGACUUAGCUUAUUAGUCCCUUCACCAAAAGCCAAUUUUAAUCCAACAUCGAGGUCGCAAUCUAAUCUAUCGAUUUGAACUCUCCAGAUUAAUAACG
rnacentral:rRNA from 1 species